GCGAAAGUGGCGGAAUUGGUAGACGCGCGAGGUUUAGGACCUCGUGGGGUGCUCCCCCGUGCGGGUUCGAGUCCCGCCUUUCGCACCG
rnacentral:tRNA from 1 species